AACUGAUUAGCAGCCACUCCUACAGAAUCUUUCAGAGCCAGAACCAUAAAAUUGUAAAUUAAUUUUGCCAAAAAUAUGAAUAUGCUGUAUCUGGCAAGGAAAUAUCCAUAAUGAAUAUACCUGCUAUGUGAUGUAUAACAACACUACAACAAAUUUAGACUUUAAUAUUGCGCCUCACAUGCUAUUAAAAAUUUAAAAAUACAUUGUUAAUAAGAAUUACUAGCAAGUAUCUAACAAUGUGCAUAAAUUCUAUAAGUCGGUUGUUA
rnacentral:misc_RNA from 1 species